GAUGAACGCUGGCGGCGUGCCUAAUACAUGCAAGUCGAGCGAAUGGAUUAAGAGCUUGCUCUUAUGAAGUUAGCGGCGGACGGGUGAGUAACACGUGGGUAACCUGCCCAUAAGACUGGGAUAACUCCGGGAAACCGGGGCUAAUACCGGAUAACAUUUUGAACCGCAUGGUUCGAAAUUGAAAGGCGGCUUCGGCUGUCACUUAUGGAUGGACCCGCGUCGCAUUAGCUAGUUGGUGAGGUAACGGCUCACCAAGGCAACGAUGCGUAGCCGACCUGAGAGUGUGAUCGGCCACACUGGGACUGCGACACGGCCCAGACUCCUACGGGAGGCAGCAGGAGGGAAUCUUCCGCAAUGGACGAAAGUCUGACGGAGCAACGCCGCGUGAGUGAUGAAGGCUUUCGGGUCGUAAAACUCUGUUGUUAGGGAAGAACAAGUGCUAGUUGAAUAAGCUGGCACCUUGACGGUACCUAACCAGAAAGCCACGGCUAACUACGUGCCAGCAGCCGCAGUAA
rnacentral:rRNA from 1 species